AAUGAACGCUGGCGGCGUGCCUAACACAUGCAAGUCGAACGAGAAAUUUCCCGCUUGCGGGAGAAAGUAAAGUGGCGAACGGGUGAGUAACGCGUGGGUAACCUGCCCCUGAAUCUGGAAUAACUUCGCGAAAGCGAGGCUAAUACCGGAUAUUGUCCCAGGGACCGUGGUCUUUGUGAUGAAAGGUGACCUCUUCAAGAAAGUUGUCGUUCAGGGAGGGGCCCGCGUACCAUUAGCUAGUUGGUAGGGUAAUGGCCUACCAAGGCGAUGAUGGUUAGCUGGUCUGAGAGGAUGACCAGCCACACUGGCACUGAAACACGGGCCAGACUCCUACGGGAGGCAGCAGUGAGGAAUCUUGCGCAAUAGGGGAAACCCUGACGCAGCAACGCCGCGUGAGUGAAGAAGGCCUUCGGGUCGUAAAGCUCUGUCAAGUGGGAAAAAAGCUUACUGGUAAAUAGCCAGGAAGCCUGAUGGUACCAUUAAAGGAAGCACCGGCUAACUCCGUGCCAGCAGCCGCGGUAAUACGGAGGGUGCAAGCGUUGUUCGGAAUUACUGGGCGUAAAGGGCGUGUAGGCGGUGUGGUAAGUCAGAUGUGAAAGCCCUGGGCUUAACCCAGGAAGUGCAUUUGAAACUGCCACGCUUGAGUAUGGGAGAGG
rnacentral:rRNA from 1 species